UAAGCCGAACCAUUGAUGAUUCUGAAAGUGGGAACAUCAUCAGUGAUCCUUCUUCUUCCCGUCUUUAUGAUUGACAAAUCAGAUUCUCCAAAAAAAAAUCCCAUGUUUCCUUGUGCAGGUAGCAUGCAUACUCUUAUACGGCCCUGAAUAUGGCCAUUUCAUUACCUUAAGGAAAUUAAUUGCAAUUUGAUUCUUUGAAGCUUCACUGCCCCCAAGUUCUAUUCUUGUUACUCCGAGAAGAUAAAUAAACAAGUGAAACUUGAGAUAUUGUGUAUGGGAAGCAUGGGGAGCUUGCUCUCACAAGAAGAUUGUGGCAGCAUCACCAGCUAUCGUAUUUUGGAAUCAUUCUUCCGGAAAAAACCCGUGUUUUUGCAGGUACCACCAUUGUCAUAUUUCAUAGCACAUUUUCUAUUUCAUCCAUUGCAUACAGUCGUACAUAUUCAGAGAAUACAUGGCUAUUUGAUUAACACA